rnacentral:rRNA from 1 species
UACGUAGGUGGCAAGCGUUGUCCGGAUUUACUGGGCGUAAAGAGCGCGCAGGCGGUCGUGCAAGUCGCGUGUGAAAGCCCCCGGCUCAACUGGGGAGGGUCACGCGAUACUGCUCGACUCGAAGGCAGGAGAGGGAAGUGGAAUUCCCGGUGUAGUGGUGAAAUGCGUAGAUAUCGGGAGGAACACCAGUGGCGAAGGCGACUUCCUGGCCUGUUCUUGACGCUGAGGCGCGAAAGCUAGGGGAGCAAACGGGG